GUGCUCAUUUUGGCAGCACAUAUACUAAAUUGGAAUGAAAGAGAGAAGAUGAGCAUGGUUCCUGUGCAAGGAUGACAUGCAAAUUCAUGAAACAUUCCACGUUCCA